AGUGAGCUUGGCGACGCACAGGAGGGACGCGCCACAGGGGAAGAAACUGGGUCUGUGUGUCGGGGCCUGCACCAUUUCGCCCGGUUCUGCCCUGGCAGAUGCACGCCAUUCCUUACCUUUCUUGAUCACGGACUGGUCCAGGAGGCUCAUUCCCGGCUCGUCCAUGGCCUGCAAAUAGGACAGGGUGGUGGUAAGGGCGCUUGUAGAUCUAGUCUCCUUUCGCUUCCCAAGCCCCUGCUGUCCCCGGUCCCUGUCCUGUCUGCUUCACCCAACGCGCACCACCCGUCGCCUGCGGCCGGCGACGGGCGGGACCAGGAUUCACCGGCGCUCCACCAUUUGCAGCUGAGUUGGAGCCCUGGGUGCCUCGCCAUGCCGUGCAAAAAGGGCAUUUUGGAACCUUAGACAGGCAACUCCUCCGCUUCGCUUCGCUCCAGGGAUUUCAGGGACUUCAUGCCGAGGACAUGACUUUCAGUACAUCCAAUAGAUAAAUGAAUGUUCCUGUCUAUGCAUAGCCAACCACAGUGGAGGAUGUGGCAGUGCCGCUUGGCCACAGUCUGCUGACGUGGAGGGGCGGAACUUCAUCUGUACACAGGAGCACGAGAGCCCCCCCAGAGGCCUCGCCACAUCAACAUGUGAGUGUGUCACCUGACCUGGCAGUGAAGCGUGUGGGCUGAGAAGUUGGAUGGCCCGCAUGGAGCCUCGACUCUGGCACGUACUGGCUGUAACACCUCGAACAAAUCACCUACCCCUGCUUGAGUUUCUUCACCUGGAGAAUCAGGAUGACGCUUGCUUCAUUGGGUACUUGGGAGGGCUGAAUGAGAGGACACUUGUGAAGUGUGUUUCGCAGGGCAUGUGUGCUGUGAGCUGCUGGGGCCUGGAAGGAAGAAGGUGCAGGACAGACCACACAGGAGCCAUCUUGUCACCAAUGAACAUUUAUUGAAUGUCCACAUGUGCACAGCUUUGAACUGGGCGAUCACAGAACGCACUGGGGGAGGGAAGGGGAGAGGGAAGCAAGGGAUCAGGUUCAUAAGAAAGGUAGUCCCUGCUGGAGCCGCCAGUCGCGUCUCUCUGCAGAGAGGAAUCACAAGCAGGGGUGGGAGUUAAAGCCAGGCACUAGGAUGGUGAUGGGGUGCAGUCACUAGGGAAACAUGCGGAUUCUGGGUAAGCAUCCCUUCGGUUCCUGUCUCCAGCCAGGCCAUAUGGCACCAAGGGGACAGGGAUCAGAUGCUCAGGUGUCCAAGCAGGGAAAAGGGCAGGCAAAAUAAAUAACUCCCCAACC